rnacentral:rRNA from 1 species
UUAAGCGACUAAGCGUACACGGUGGAUGCCCUGGCAGUCAGAGGCGAUGAAGGACGUGCUAAUCUGCGAAAAGCGUCGGUAAGGUGAUAUGAACCGUUACAGCCGGCGAUGUCCGAAUGGGGAAACCCAGUGCAAUUCGUUGCACUAUCGUUAACUGAAUACAUAGGUUAACGAGGCGAACCGGGGGAACUGAAACAUCUAAGUACCCCGAGGAAAAGAAAUCAACCGAGAUUCCCCCAGUAGCGGCGAGCGAACGGGGAGCAGCCCAGAGUCUGAAUCAGCUUGUGUGUUAGUGGAACGGUCUGGAAAGUCCGACGGUACAGGGUGAUAGUCCCGUACACCAAAAUGCACAGGNUGUGAACUCGAAGAGUAGGGCGGGACACGUGGUAUCCUGUCUGAAUAUGGGGGGACCAUCCUCCAAGGCUAAAUACUCCUGACUGACCGAUAGUGAACCAGUACCGUGAGGGAAAGGCGAAAAGAACCCCGGCGAGGGGAGUGAAAAAGAACCUGAAACCGUGUACGUACAAGCAGUGGGAGCACCUUCGGGUGUGACUGCGUACCUUUUGUAUAAUGGGUCAGCGACUUAUAUUCUGUAGCAAGGUUAACCGUAUAGGGGAGCCGCAGGGAAACCGAGUCUUAACUGGGCGUUAAGUUGCAGGGUAUAGACCCGAAACCCGGUGAUCUAGCCAUGGGCAGGUUGAAGGUUGGGUAACACUAACUGGAGGACCGAACCGACUAAUGUUGAAAAAUUAGCGGAUGACUUGUGGCUGGGGGUGAAAGGCCAAUCAAACCGGGAGAUAGCUGGUUCUCCCCGAAAGCUAUUUAGGUAGCGCCUCGUGAACUCAUCUUCGGGGGUAGAGCACUGUUUCGGCUAGGGGGUCAUCCCGACUUACCAACCCGAUGCAAACUACGAAUACCGAAGAAUGUUAUCACGGGAGACACACGGCGGGUGCUAACGUCCGUCGUGAAGAGGGAAACAACCCAGACCGCCAGCUAAGGUCCCAAAGUCAUGGUUAAGUGGGAAACGAUGUGGGAAGGCACAGACAGCCAGGAUGUUGGCUUAGAAGCAGCCAUCAUUUAAAGAAAGCGUAAUAGCUCACUGGUCGAGUCGGCCUGCGCGGAAGAUGUAACGGGGCUAAACCAUGCACCGAAGCUGCGGCAGCGACACUAUGUGUUGUUGGGUAGGGGAGCGUUCUGUAAGCCUGCGAAGGUGUGCUGUGAGGCAUGCUGGAGGUAUCAGAAGUGCGAAUGCUGACAUAAGUAACGAUAAAGCGGGUGAAAAGCCCGCUCGCCGGAAGACCAAGGGUUCCUGUCCAACGUUAAUCGGGGCAGGGUGAGUCGACCCCUAAGGCGAGGCCGAAAGGCGUAGUCGAUGGGAAACAGGUUAAUAUUCCUGUACUUGGUGUUACUGCGAAGGGGGGACGGAGAAGGCUAUGUUAGCCGGGCGACGGUUGUCCCGGUUUAAGCAUGUAGGCUGGUUAUCCAGGCAAAUCCGGAUAAUCAAGGCUGAGGUGUGAUGACGAGGCACUACGGUGCUGAAGUAACAAAUGCCCUGCUUCCAGGAAAAGCCUCUAAGCAUCAGGUAACAUCAAAUCGUACCCCAAACCGACACAGGUGGUCAGGUAGAGAAUACCAAGGCGCUUGAGAGAACUCGGGUGAAGGAACUAGGCAAAAUGGUGCCGUAACUUCGGGAGAAGGCACGCUGGUGUGUAGGUGAAGUCCCUGCGGAUGGAGCUGAGACCAGUCGAAGAUACCAGCUGGCUGCAACUGUUUAUUAAAAACACAGCACUGUGCAAACACGAAAGUGGACGUAUACGGUGUGACGCCUGCCCGGUGCCGGAAGGUUAAUUGAUGGGGUUAUCCGUAAGGAGAAGCUCUUGAUCGAAGCCCCGGUAAACGGCGGCCGUAACUAUAACGGUCCUAAGGUAGCGAAAUUCCUUGUCGGGUAAGUUCCGACCUGCACGAAUGGCGUAAUGAUGGCCAGGCUGUCUCCACCCGAGACUCAGUGAAAUUGAACUCGCUGUGAAGAUGCAGUGUACCCGCGGCAAGACGGAAAGACCCCGUGAACCUUUACUAUAGCUUGACACUGAACAUUGAGCCUUGAUGUGUAGGAUAGGUGGGAGGCUUUGAAGCGUGGACGCCAGUCUGCGUGGAGCCAACCUUGAAAUACCACCCUUUAAUGUUUGAUGUUCUAACGUUGGCCCCUGACCGGGGUUGCGGACAGUGUCUGGUGGGUAGUUUGACUGGGGCGGUCUCCUCCCAAAGCGUAACGGAGGAGCACGAAGGUUAGCUAAUCCUGGUCGGACAUCAGGAGGUUAGUGCAAUGGCAUAAGCUAGCUUGACUGCGAGCGUGACGGCGCGAGCAGGUGCGAAAGCAGGUCAUAGUGAUCCGGUGGUUCUGAAUGGAAGGGCCAUCGCUCAACGGAUAAAAGGUACUCCGGGGAUAACAGGCUGAUACCGCCCAAGAGUUCAUAUCGACGGCGGUGUUUGGCACCUCGAUGUCGGCUCAUCACAUCCUGGGGCUGAAGUAGGUCCCAAGGGUAUGGCUGUUCGCCAUUUAAAGUGGUACGCGAGCUGGGUUUAGAACGUCGUGAGACAGUUCGGUCCCUAUCUGCCGUGGGCGCUGGAGAAUUGAGGGGGGCUGCUCCUAGUACGAGAGGACCGGAGUGGACGCAUCACUGGUGUUCGGGUUGUCAUGCCAAUGGCACUGCCCGGUAGCUAAAUGCGGAAGAGAUAAGUGCUGAAAGCAUCUAAGCACGAAACUUGCCCCGAGAUGAGUUCUCCCUGAGACUNGACGUUGAUAGGCCGGGUGUGUAAGCGCAGCGAUGCGUUGAGCUAACCGGUACUAAUGAACCGUGAGGCUUAACCUU